rnacentral:misc_RNA from 1 species
UAUUUGGGUGAGAACAGCAGCUCAUAUGCCGAAUGCGGAGUGACGAAUACAAUGUUAUGCAAUCAAACUCUGAAAACCACAAAACUGUUGGUAGAGAUGAAACUGCGCCAAACGAAUUCCCUUGACAAACGCUGCUCGUAGUUGAGAUGGGAGAUCAGUGGAUUCCCACGACCGCUCACUGCCUUUUACUCACACAAGGACAACACAUGGAGCGAAUCAGCGUCUAUUUAGGAGUCCACAAUUAUGUAGCGACUGAUGAAAUCAAUCGGAAAAUGUACCUUGCGAAUAAUUACGUCGUUCAUCCCAACUGGAAUGUGAACAAUUUCUCCAACGACAUUGCCCUAAUUAAACUCUCAACUACCGUCACUGUCUCGCAAUACAUACGUCCAAUCUGCCUUGCAAGUUUGACUGAGCCGGAUUACACCAACGAACCUGCCACCACCUGCCACCGUCGCCGGAUGGGGUUCACUUCGGAUGGUUUGAGUGCUAGCCUUAGUCCUUUGCUCCGCAAAGUGACAGUUCCAGUCAUCUCCAAUAUAGCGUCUGUAGUGAUACCUAUCCCGGCAUGAUUACAGAGAAAAUCAUCUGUACCAGUGGAGCCAAUCGCAGUGGGCCGUGUAAAAGUGAGAGUGGAGGCCCAUUAAUUUUCAAAGAAUCCAAUGGCAAAUGGAAAAAAUUAAUUGGGAUCGUUUCAUUCGGCUCAAGCCUAGGCUACCAGAAGAAUUUUCCUAGUGGCUACACCAGGAUCAGCUCCUAUUCAUCGUGGAUCCAGGGCGUCAUUGCACCAACGGCCCCCACAAAGUCACCUAUGAACAACCGUCACUUCAACUACCGUUCCCACAACCAGCCCGUAUUCGUCUGGUCCCCACACGUGAAAACGCCCAAAACGCUUGUGGAGUGUCCAAUGGCAUCUCGAAGGCAUCAACAAAGGCCAAGACAAGAUCGGUGUCGGAGUGGAGGCAGGCUAUGUCGAAUUCCCUUGGCAAGCCGACAUUCGAAUAUACACGAAGAGCGGCACUAAGCACGCUUGCGGAGGAAGUUUGAUAUCAGAUCAAUGGAUUCUUACAUCUGCUCAAUGCGUGAAGACAAAUACUGAUGGGGAUCAAAUUUUAGAAGUGUGAGUUACGCUGGGGCAUGCACAACUAUAAAAUGUCGAAUGAUCUUAACCGACGAACCUUUGAAUUAGACAUGAAUAGCUUCUUUUUUCAUCCGGAUUAUUCGGAAACGCUGGACGCAGAUAUCGCCUUGAUUAAACUCCCAUCUGUCGUCACCUUCUCAAGUAUCAAGAUAACGUCACACUGAAGGUCAUAUUAUCGGCACGCAAUCGGGUAAACAUCCUGUUACAUGGAGUUUUUUUUUUCAAUUUAAAUAUUUUAUUUGUACAUGCCAGU